UUUAAGAUACUACAAACAGUGGGCAGAACAUGACAAGGAUAACCCACAACCAUAUUUAAAAGUUUGUUACUGUCUUGCAAUGGUUGGUGACAUUGAAGAGGCCAAGAAAUAUUGCACAAAAGCAAAAGAAAAAGCUAAUAUGGAUGGUAAUAAUGAUCAAACAGAUAUACAACAAAAGAUUUUAACUAUGUGGAAUCUUCUAGAGGAAGCAGAAAAAGAAAUGAAUAAGGAGUCGUAAAGACAGUUGGAUAUUGUCAGAUUAAAUGUAGCAUUCGAUAGAUUUUUACCUAAUUAAAGCAGUGCUAGCAUGUUACAUCUACACAAGAUGCUUUAAGAUGAAAAUUUA